rnacentral:rRNA from 1 species
GCUUAACACAUGCAAGUCGAACGGAAAGGCCCUGCUUUUGUGGGGUGCUCGAGUGGCGAACGGGUGAGUAACACGUGAGUAACCUGCCCUUGACUUUGGGAUAACUUCAGGAAACUGGGGCUAAUACCGGAUAGGAGCUCCUGCUGCAUGGUGGGGGUUGGAAAGUUUCGGCGGUUGGGGAUGGACUCGCGGCUUAUCAGCUUGUUGGUGGGGUAGUGGCUUACCAAGGCUUUGACGGGUAGCCGGCCUGAGAGGGUGACCGGCCACAUUGGGACUGAGAUACGGCCCAGACUCCUACGGGAGGCAGCAGUGGGGAAUAUUGCACAAUGGGCGGAAGCCUGAUGCAGCAACGCCGCGUGCGGGAUGACGGCCUUCGGGUUGUAAACCGCUUUCGCCUGUGACGAAGCGUGAGUGACGGUAAUGGGUAAAGAAGCACCGGCUAACUACGUGCCAGCAGCCGCGGU